rnacentral:misc_RNA from 1 species
GUUGUACUAUCUUCCACGUCGUUUUAUUAGGGGCUUGCAUUUGAAGCAGAAUGGUUUCGCUCACUUUGAGGUUUCAUUUAAAGUCCUAGGAGCAUCGACAGGUUCAACCCUGAAAAGAUGUGGGGUCUAUCUGGUUUGCAAGCAAGAUGAGGUAGCGGAGGAUCCAAGUGUAAGCCUAUCCUUGAGUUAUCAAAUGGAAUCAAUGUCAGUAGAUCUCAAGAGAAGUUGUGGUGAUGACUUAGAACUCAAAGUUUGUUCGAAUUUGAAGAAGAACAGGACAACUGAAGUCUCUCCAAUGGCUAACAACAGCAUUGAAUAUCACCUUGAGCCUGCAAUGGCAUUCAAUACCGAGCAUCGGGG